UUUUCCCCUAUACUGCUGCCCCUGCAGAAGUCGCUCACCUAUUUUAUUUUGCCUUCUCCCUUAUGCUAUCCUUGAGUUGCGUUCUUGUCACGUGUCCCUUCCACUUGUUACCUCAAGCAGCCUAUAUUGCCUCCACCAACUACCUACAGCUAUUGUUUGGUUAUCGGGUCUGCCUUGCGAGUCGUAGUGCAUGCUAGUGCUGUUAUAUCUCGUUAACGUUGCCGCUAUCUUAACGGUUAUCUGUUGGGAAUCAUGACACAUGCUACAUGGUUAUAUCUGUUGAGGGAAUCAUGGUUACUUGUUAAUAGUUGUUAGCGGAGGCAUCGGUGGGUCAGUUGCUCGUUUUAUGAUGGCUCACUUGUGUUUCCAUGAAAUCUAGGACCCCGAGUUCUUUUUAUCUGUUCCGAGACUGAGCGCUCUAACCACACGUGGGUAUGUUUCUGGGUCUCCCCUCGACCACUGCCAGAAUCUACAGCUUUGUCCAGUGGCCGCAACUAGUUUGCUAUGUUUUACCAUUUGUUGUUUGCGUGCAUGCCAGCUUGUUACUUAUUUACUUUGGGAAGCCCCUGGGUGCCUUGUAUCCCUUGUUUCUGGUAUGCACGUAUAGGUCGCGGAGCCUCUGUGAAGUGGUUUAUCGCCCCAGUGUGUGUUUAAACCACCUAUCACGCUAGCGCACAUAGCUAAGUCCGCUUCGGAGAUACGGCCGGACUUCGAUACGGGUUCAACUUGGUUAGGUGGAUUCCUGGACAUUGUUGUAGUGAAGGAGAGUGCGAGUCGUGAUAUUCACCUGUUGCAAGUGGGUUGAUCGUGCGUGUGGGCACAUUUGGGCACCCCUGCAGGGUUACAUCUUAUCGAUAAGCCGUGUCCGCGGUUAUGGACGACUUGGAGCUGUAUGACUCGACCAUAGACAACUUACACUUGCUGUUUCAAUCAUAAUAACUUGCGUAGUAAGUUAGCACAACUCUAAUAAUAAAUGGUUAAAACUUGACAACCGUGUGAGUGCCCUUGUAAGUAGUUCCUUGCGAGGGGGGAACACAUCGGCCGUGUUAUGUUUACAGAGUAUAGAACUGUUAGUUGUGCGCUCUCUCACCUUCUCUGAUUAGACGACUGUUGGAGAGUGUCUCUAUAGGUUUUUAGUGCUUGCGCGCUGCCGCUUAACCCCACCAUAUUGCCUAUGACGUUCCUCUUGCGUCCUCUAAGUCCCCUGCGUGCCUCAAGUACAAAGGACGACUGGUUGACGAAUGCUUCUACGUCUUGAAGUCUUGUUAAGUACGAACCCGUACUUAUUGCUGCUUCUACGGGAUAUAACCGGGCAGGUAUGAAGAUCGGUACGAUGAAGAACGACGCUAGCAAGGUUACCCUUCCGGCUUGGCCUGGGCAGGGUUAUGGACGCCACUGGUUAUCUUCAAGACUCUUAGUCCAAAUUUGUAUCUUGUCCGUACUCGGAUGUAUUUGAUCUUCUGUAUGAUUUGGAUCUUUGUAUGUAUCUAUUUGUAUCUUGACUCGUUGGAGUCGUUGUUGUAAUAUAUCUGUAUCUUGUGGGCUCUA